rnacentral:other from 1 species
GUAUGCCUGCGGUGUUCGACAUCGGAUGCAUAAAGUUUUGAGCCGACACUCAGACUUUAGGGACCGAUCGUCGUCAUUCCGAGUGACAUCUCCCCCGCGGAGAAUACGCGGACGAAUGGCGCGGAGGACCCACCCUUCCUUUAGGGUUCAAAAACAAUUGCUAUCGACCGGCACACGCGGGCAUACU